UUUGUGCAUGAAGAACUUUGUGAAUGAGAAGUAAACAAAACAAAGUAAUGAAGUGUUUAUGUUAUGUGGCUGUGUAGCAGGUGGUAUGAACAUUGGUUUUACGGUCUUGUAAUAUGUCACAGUCAACUAGCUUUCAGAAAAAAGGGAAGUCGAAGGUGCCCCCAAUCCAGGGAACUAAACCAUCUAUACACAAUGCACAAUUGUUAAUAUCCUCUGGUGUGCCCUCUUUGGACUAUGUGUUCGGUGGAGGUAUACCUGUUGGCACAGUGAUGUUGGUGGAAGAGGACAAAUAUGGAACCUUUUCAAAAUUCAUUAUGAAGUACUUCUUAGCUGAAGGAGUUGUGUGUGGCCACUCUGUUAUUGCAGCUUCACAAGAUGUUGAUCCGGAAGCAGUGGUAGCAGAAUUACCAGCAAUGGUACAGGAAGAUGACAGUGAACCUUCAAAUUCUUCCACUGCAGAUGAGAAAAUGAAAAUUGCGUGGCGUUAUCAGAACAUAAAACCGGGUAUACCAUCACAGUCAAGAACAAGUUUUGGUCACAAUUAUGACUUGAGCCGAACUAUGGAUUUGGAAACAAUUAAAACAGCUAAUAUUUUGUAUUGGCAUGGGAGUCAGUGUCAACCUACAGAAUCCAGUGGUCACUUUGCUGAAGCUGGCUAUGGGCAACUGCUUGAAUUCAUCCGUGACCAUGUUGAAGAAGGAGGGUUCUCUGUACAUGUGAAUCCUGAACAUCGAAGUAUUUUAAGGGUGGGUGUGACUAGCAUAGGUUCUCCGCUGUGGGGGCCUGUGGAAGAUAUCAGUGACUUGUGCCACUUUCUGUAUUGCCUUCGUUCACUUAUCCGUUCUGCAUUUGGUGUCUGCUUAUUGACACUGCCAUGGCAUCUGUUUGAGCCAAUUUCUGGUGCAGUGGAGAGAUUUGAACAUUUGGUGGACUAUGUAGUUAGACUGGAGGCAUGGGAAGGUGAUGUUUUACCUGCUCUACGUGAUUACAAUGGCUUACUUCACCUUCGUAAGCUUCCAGCCAUCAACACACUUGCUCCACAUAUACCUGAAAGCCUGGAUCUUGCCUUCCGUUUACGGCGUAAGAAGUUUGUGAUACAGAAACUACACCUUCCACCAGAACUCCAAGAGUCAACUGAGAGAGAGCAAGAUGAACUAAUAGAGCCUUCAGGGAGCAGGUUGCCAUGUGGAAAAGCCUUAGACUUCUGAUGUGUGUAAGAUACCAUGGUGGGAUUUACUGAAAGAGCAUUAAAUGCGGGUGGCCCAUGAUUAUUUUGCCCUGAAUUUCUCCAGAAAAUAUGAACUCACUACUUGCCUCAUGGAAGAAACAUGUGAAUAUGUACAUUGAAGGCAAACAGAGAAGACAUCAGAUUGAAGAAAUUGCAUUCGAUUCACUGUCACUUGUAAGACAGGAAAUGGCUGUUGAAAUGGUUUCCUUGUUGUAAAAUUUAAGGAUAUUGAAAGCUACAAACUCUGUGCUCAAAGGAAAUACGAAAAGAGUCGUGCUGUUGUAGUUGUGUGGACUCUGUAUUCAUUGGAAUAUUGAAAAGUGUCAUUGUAUAAUGUGGUUCAUAACUGUGUUAUGUGUAUGUGUAUCUAAUGAAACAAGUAAAAAGUGUGACUGAAGAAUCUCAUAGACUGUAGAAGAGAUGAGAACUACCACCAUUGGAGAAAAAAAAUGAUUUUGAGCUAAAAUAUGUUUUUCUUAGAAGAUUGUCUCUUCUUCAAUAUUGAAUCCUUGUGUCCAUAGUUUUACAUGUUGAGGGUUACAAGUGGCUUAAACUUGUAGACAUGAAAACAUAUGUUUAUGCAAGAUUAUUUGGAGAAAUCAGUACACAUACUUCACAGUUAAUUGUAGACACCUGAAAACAGUAAACUAGAAUACAAAAUUACAUCAACAAUAUUCAUAUAGUCUUUCUAGUAAAAAAUUUUAAUAGUUUCACCUAAACAUUUUAGUUAAUUUGAUUCAGUAUACUACAGAUUUCCUUAAAAGUGUUACACAAAUACUGGGCAGUUAUAACUAAGGUGCAGCUACUCACGGAAGUCCAUUGUGGGCUGUAAUUGUCAUA